GGUCCCUGCAGCAGUUGAUUGGGGGGAUCUAGUACAGGGGCCCACUGUGCAGCGGGUGUGGGAGGUCCAGGCUGCCCCAGCGUUCCCAGCCUCCCACCAGACAGGGCCAAGGGCUCAGGAUGGGGGGGGUAGGAGGGCGUGACAGGAGUGAGGAGGCUCCGUGGCUGAGGGGCUGGACAGGGCUUCUUCAUGGGACUCAGGGGAGCUCCUACUUCACAGGGGGACCCCGGUUCCCAGAUCUCUCCUUUCACCCACAGUAAAGUAUUCUAGGCAUGAAUGCUUGUAUGGUGGGUCAUGCCCUUUGCCAGGCUCAGUUCUAAGAGAAGAGCGCACAGCAUCCCCUUUAAUAGUCACAAGAACCCUGCAGGCCAAUCUGCUCUUUCAGUCCCCAUCACAGAUGAGGGAGCCAAGGCUCCUGGCCCCCAGCCCUUCAGCUCCCAGGUUGGGAGGCCCCUUCCUGCCCUUCCUCGCCCUGGUCUUCCAUCCAGGCAAUUAUUGGCAGAAUUUCCGCUCUCCUCCAAAUGUACUUAGCAGCAAAAGCUCUCUGUGAAGUCAGUAGUGCCAGAGGGCUCCUCUAAAACAGAUCCAAGGGGCGCUGCCCCAGCUGAUGUGGAGGCAGGUGUGUGGCUAACAGAGCCUGGUGCCCAGACACCUUCCUGGUUCCCAGAGGGUUGGGAAUGGCUCACCUUGCAGGAGGAUCCUGGUCUCCGAAUCAGUGUCUGGGACUUGGUCACUGAGGUCUGCGGCUGGCACCUCCUCUCUCUGCACGCCAGCUGCAGGGGAGAGAUGUGACGGCACCAGCCCCUCUCUCCCCUGCCCGGCACCACUGUGCCCAGGCUGUAGCUCCACACCCUCUCCGGCUGAUGGCUCACCUUGCCCAAGGUGUUCUGGGUCCAGUGUGCGAAUGGCCACGGUUUUGUUGACUCUAAUUCCUUCGGGCUAUGCGGUGUUGGGAGGGGGAGGAAGUCCAGUGAAGAAAAGGACAGACACACAGAUGGUCAGCAAGCCACUGUCAUGAGGAUGACUCUAGCAGAGGGUCAUACCUUACACAGAUCUUGUGCAAAUUCAUCAGACAAUUCUACAUCAAUGACGAAAAAGUGUGAAAUCUUCACAUGUGCUGAGAAACUACUUGGGCUAGCUCACUGGAUCCUCACAAUCCAAUGGGGUGGGUGCUGCUUUCACUAUGGUUUGGAUAUUGAACGUCCCCUAAAGGCCCGUGCAAUGCAGGCUGAGUCUCAGGGUGGUGCUAUUGGGAGGAGAUGCAGCCUGCUAGAGGUGGGGUCUGCUGAGAGCUCUUUAGGUCACUGGGGUGUGCCCUUGAAGGGGAUAAUGGGAUUGCAGACCCUCCUUGCUCUGUUUGCUUCCUGGCCAGGAGGUGAAGGAUUCUGCCUCACUGCACACUCCACAGCAAUGAGCCACCCCACCCCCACCGAGGCCUGAAAGCACUGGAUCUGCCUGAUCAUGGACUGGAACCUCCAACAUCCUGAGUCAAAAUCAACCUCUUCUCUUCAAAAGUUAGUUACCACAGUAAUGAGGAUUGAACCUAGGCACACUUAAGCACUGAGCAUAUUUGCAUCAGCCCAACUUUUAAAAACUUUUUGAGACCUUGUUUUGGUUCUCACUAAGUUGCUGAGGCUGGCCUUGGACUUGGGUUCCUCCUGCCUCAGCCUCCUGAGUCGCUGAGAUCACGGGAGCAGCCACUAAGCCUGGCUUGUGAUGAUUCUUAGGGUCUCAGAGCCUGAGUCACCCACCGGGGAUCAGCAGUAUGGAGCACAGGCACAUUCCCUGAAGGACAAGGGACAGCGGAUGCACAAAGGACUCACCACGACCUUCAGGGUCUUCUUGACACCGUCGCUGAUGAAGUGGUUGUACACAGCAGCCUUGACCUCCACCUCCUGCAGCCCUAUGGUCAAGGGCACGAUGACAUAGGGCACUGGCACCGAGGACUUGGGC